CACAUUCAAUUUUGUAUGGCACAUUAUGCAAUUUAGCAUUUUAUUCUAAUUAAUCUAAUUACUAAUUAGUAUAUUUAGUAAUUACGAGGACUGUGGACUUCAUGAUCUAAUAAUUAAUAUUUUAAAUUUUAAAUAGUGUAACUUAAUUUAAUAUGUACAAUGUGUGUAUAUGGUACUUUUAAUUCAUAUAUUUUAAUAUCCAGAUUGGAAAACAUGUACCAGUAGUUAAGUAGUAUUUUACUAUUUUAUAUUUAUAUUAAUUUUGAUAUUUUUUUUAAUCUUUUUAUCGUAUUUUUCUUGUAUGAUAUUUGAUCAUUAUGCCUUUUACAUGCAAAUAUCAUUCUGGUGUUCAAAUAGAAAUUAAUAAUAUAUUUGGUUAAUUCAUUCUGAUGUUCCAGACAGCCAACUUUGGAAGGGACUCCGGUAUUAUUUACUUUAUCCAUAACUAUAGAAUAUUGAACAUACACAUAAUUGAAAUAUGGAACAUUAAUUAAAUUACAGUCUCCAAGCAGUAUAUUAUAUUCAUUAGACAUUCUGAUGGACUGAGUAAAUGUCCUCUAUUUCGCAUAUUUAUAAACUCUUGAACUUCUACUUCAAGAUUGGUACGAUCAUCUGAUGUUGAUAUAAGAGAAUUAAAACAAUCAUUGCAAGUUUUUGCUAAUGAAUGUUUUUUGGCAUUUCGAGCAACAUAACCAACAAAGUUUAAUCUAUGCUGUUUAUCUUCUUUUGAUGAAUGUUGAAUACUGACAAGAGAAUUCAACAUUUCUCCACCACUCACAUUGCUUCCUCUUGGUGGUUUUAUUAGUGAAUAGCAUGAUAAUAACCGAUAAACUUGGAUGAACUGUUUAGGAUCUGGAUUCUGAUUUGAACCACAUGCUUGACGUAAACAGCCAAAUAAAUGCUAAUGAAAAAGUCAUGUUGCAUAUAUAUUAUUUUAUAAGCACUCAUUUAAACAAAAUAAAGGUUAAAAAUUUAUACUUCUAAUUUAUCUUGAUUAAUUCGCUUAGUCAUGAGGUAAGAAUAAUCGUUUACAUUUGUACAUAAAUAUUCAACCAAUUGUAAUGUACUAUUUAAUGACACUAUCAAUCCUUUUUCUGUUUGACUAGUAAAUCGAAAAUUUUGGUCUGGAAUAUCUGAUUUCCACUUAUUUAAAUAGUCAAUAAAAUCCACAAUAAUCUAUGAAAAAUAGAAUAUAACAAAUCGAUAAGUAGGUAAUUAGCCAUUAGGUACUAUGACACAUCUUUUUUUAACACAACAUUUGCUGUUUCAUAAUAAAUAAUAAUUAAUAAUUAUAAUAAAAAAAAUACAAAUACAAAUAACAAUAAUGCAAUUUUUACUUUAUUGCUGAAUGAGUUUUUGUCUGCUUGCAAGCCAUAUUUUUUAGUAUUAGAAUUCAUAAUAUCAAUUAAAUCAUUUAUUUUCCGAAUAAAACUUAUAGUUGGACCACAAUCUCUAAAUUUCUCAUGUCCUCGGUUCAUAAGUUCUUGCAUACAGUCAGCUACUGAUUUACUAAAGAACUAUAAAAUAUGAUAUAUAAUUAGGCAAUAUGUCAUAUAUAUUAAUAUAAAUAUAUUUAAGUGUUAUUUCAUCUUACAACCAUAGCCAUUUUUACAUUCAUUUUUUGAAAAUGCUGUGGAUACAAAU